rnacentral:rRNA from 1 species
AUGAAUUCUAACUUCCGCGCUACUCAUCCAUGUGCAGAGGGGAAUAGCAGGUUAUGCGUCUCCGUGAGAGACUACUACUGUUACAUGCUGCAGACACGACCUGGGAUAUUCAAUCCCAUACUCUGUGGAGCACGAUUGCUCCAGCAAUGGGGGGUGGACAUGUACAUCAAGAUUGAGAGUUGUAGGUUGAAAUGGUACAGGAAGAACCAGACAAAGAUCCGUGCCGACCUGUAUAAAGGAGUUGUUGAUGCAAUUACAUCCGGGGAGACCCGGGCAAGCGCUAUUGGAGUAAGGAUAGUGCUCCCUGGAACGUACCCAGGUGGCGACCGCGACAUGAAGCGGAGGCAUAUGGAUGCCAUGGCAAUUGUCCAUACGUACGGGAAGCCUGACAUCUUCUUGACCAUGAUCUGCAACCCUAACUGGGAAGAGAUAACGAAUGAGUUGUUUCCUGGUCAGACAGCACAAGAUCGACCUGAUCUUGUGGCUCGUGUGUUCCAUGGAAAGCUAGAGGCUAUGAAAGAGCUCUUGUUCAAGAAGAAUAUCCUGGGUGUUGUUGUCGCACAUGUAUACGUAGUCGAGUUCCAGAAGAGGGGCCUCCCCCACGCACACUUUUUGUUGAUCAUGGAUUCUGCAUAUAAGCUUGUCGUUCCGGAGCAGUACGACCGACUCAUUUCUGCCGAGCUCCCAGACAAGCAGAAGUAUACUGAACUCCACGCCUUGGUGGUGAAACAUAUGAUGCACGGACCAUGCGGUGCUCUCAACCCCAAAAAUGUGUGCAUGCAACAGAACGAGUGCAAGUGCAGAUACCCACGGCCGUUCAAUGAAAACACGGCACAGGGCAAGGACUCAUACCCAGUUUAUCGUCGUCGAGAUGAUGGUCGGCAGGCUAAGGUCCGUGGUAAAAUGCUGGACAACAGAUGGGUUGUGCCGUAUAACCCUUACCUUCUGCGGAUGUUCAAUUGCCACAUCAACGUUGAGGUUUGCUCUAGCAUAAAGGCCGUUAAAUACCUUUACAAGUACAUAUACAAGGGCCAUGAUAGGGCUUCUUUCAGCAUCGACCAGCCCGACGCCAAUGGUAACAUUGAUGAGAUCAAAAGAUACGUAGACGCAAGGUGGGUUACUCCUCCAGAGGCGAUGUGGAGGAUAUUUGGCUUCCCCUUGUGUGCCAAUGACCCGCCUGUCCUACAGUUGCCUCUUCAUCUCCCGAAUAUGCACAGGGUGGCCUUCAAUGAGCAAGCUCACUUGACCGACGUAGUCGCCUCUGAGAAUGCUUCCAAAUCCAUGUUAACAGAGUAUUUCAAAGCUAACCAAAACCACCCAUGGGCUAGGAAUAUAUUGUACAAGGAUUUUCCUGGAAGGUUCACAUGGCAAAAGGGUAAGAAGUAUUGGAAAGAGCGGGUGGAGCGUUAUCAGAUAGGUCGAAUUGUGUCUGCCAAUCCUGCCGAGGGGGAGCGAUACUAUCUACGUGUGAUGCUAAACCAUGUUGCUGGCAAGACAUCCUAUGAGGACCUGCUUACCGUGGACAGUAGGCUAUGCGGGAGCUUUAGAGAGGCUGCCGAAAGGUUGGGACUCAUCGAGGCAGAUAACACGCUCGACGACUGUCUUACCGAGGCAGAGCAAUGGGCGAUGCCAUGUUCGCUCAGGAGGCUCUUCGCAACAAUUUUGGUGCAC